AACCCACUCCAGUAUUCUUGCCUGGAGAAUUCCACGGACAGCAGAGCCUGGCGGGCUACAGUCCAUGGGGUCACAAAGAAUUGUACACGACUGAGUGAUUAACACUACCACCACAUCUACCAUAGAACAUACAUAACAUUCCUAACAGAAUCCGUGAAGCCCGAUUCCAGGUGAGAGAGACAGUAUACAGGUCAGCUUGCACACAGCCUCGCUCUCCAUUCCCGGGGCCACUCGGCUCAGUCACUGGAGGCAGUGCUCCGGGUGCUCCGACCGCCGGAUAAAGAAACCAGGGGUGUCUUCCCACAGGGGCAGUUGUUGUGGACGGAAGCUCCAGACCACAUUUUGGAAGAUCUGAGCACCUUCCCUCUGGGAAAUCUUCAGUGACUCCACCCCAGAGAGACCUGGAGCUCCCCAGUCACUGCAGGAGCUGCCCACCUGAGACCUCUCUGUUGCCAGGGAAGUCUUCCUUCCCAGUGGUCCCUGCAGGACCCAGGCCACCCAUUUUCUG